GCAUAUCAAUAAGCGGAGGAAAAGAAACCAACAGGGAUUGCCUCAGUAACGGCGAGUGAAGCGGCAACAGCUCAAAUUUGAAAUCUGGCCUCACGGUCCGAGUUGUAAUUUGUAGAGGAUGUUUCGAGCAUGGUCCGGCCUAAGUGUCUUGGAACAGGACGUCAUAGAGGGUGAGAACCCCGUAUGCGGUCGGGUGCCUACGCUCAUGUGAAACUCCUUCGACGAGUCGAGUUGUUUGGGAAUGCAGCUCAAAAUGGGUGGUAAAUUUCAUCUAAAGCUAAAUAUUGGCCAGAGACCGAUAGCGCACAAGUAGAGUGAUCGAAAGAUGAAAAGCACUUUGGAAAGAGAGUUAAACAGUACGUGAAAUUGUUGAAAGGGAAGCGCUUGCAACCAGACUUGGGCGCGGCCGAUCAUCCGGUGUUCUCACCGGUGCACUCGGUCGCGUGCAGGCCAGCAUCGGUUCUGGUGGCUGGAUAAAGGCCCUAGGAAUGUGGCUCCUCUCGGGGAGUGUUAUAGCCUAGGGUGCAAUGCAGCCUACCGGGACCGAGGACCGCGCUUCGGCUAGGAUGCUGGCGUAAUGGUUGUAAGUGACCCGUCUUGAAACACGGACCAAGGAGUCUAACAUCUAUGCGAGUGUUUGGGUGUCAAACCCAUACGCGUAAUGAAAGUGAACGGAGGUGAGAACCCUUAAGGGUGCAUCAUCGACCGAUCCUGAUGUCUUCGGAUGGAUUUGAGUAUGAGCAUAGCUGUUGGGACCCGAAAGAUGGUGAACUAUGCCUGACUAGGGUGAAGCCAGAGGAAACUCUGGUGGAGGCUCGCAGCGGUUCUGACGUGCAAAUCGAUCGUCAAAUUUGGGCAUAGGGGCGAAAGACUAAUCGAACCAUCUAGUAGCUGGUUCCUGCCGAAGUU
rnacentral:rRNA from 1 species